rnacentral:rRNA from 1 species
UGAACGCUGGCGGCGUGCUUAACACAUGCAAGUCGAACGAUGAAGCCCAGCUUGCUGGGUGGAUUAGUGGCGAACGGGUGAGUAACACGUGAGUAACCUGCCCUUGACUCUGGGAUAAGCCUGGGAAACUGGGUCUAAUACUGGAUAUGACUUCUCAUCGCAUGGUGGGGGGUGGAAAGAUUUAUUGGUCUUGGAUGGACUCGCGGCCUAUCAGCUUGUUGGUGAGGGAAUGGCUCACCAAGGCGACGACGGGUAGCCGGCCUGAGAGGGUGACCGGCCACACUGGGACUGAGACACGGCCCAGACUCCUACGGGAGGCAGCAGUGGGGAAUAUUGCACAAUGGGCGCAAGCCUGAUGCAGCGACGCCGCGUGAGGGAUGACGGCCUUCGGGUUGUAAACCUCUUUCAGUAGGGAAGAAGCGAGAGUGACGGUACCUGCAGAAGAAGCGCCGGCUAACUACGUG